AGUGAACGCUGGCGGCAGGCCUAACACAUGCAAGUCGAGCGGCAGCGGGUCCUUCGGGAUGCCGGCGAGCGGCGGACGGGUGAGGAAUGCGUCGGAAUCUGCCUUUUUGUGGGGGAUAGCGUAGGGAAACUUACGCUAAUACCGCAUACGACCUACGGGUGAAAGUGGGGGACCGCAAGGCCUCACGCAGAAAGAUGAGCCGACGUCGGAUUAGCUAGUUGGCGGGGUAAAGGCCCACCAAGGCGACGAUCCGUAGCUGGUCUGAGAGGAUGAUCAGCCACACUGGAACUGAGGCACGGUCCAGACUCCUACGGGAGGCAGCAGUGGGGAAUAUUGGACAAUGGGCGCAAGCCUGAUCCAGCCAUGCCGCGUGUGUGAAGAAGGCCUUCGGGUUGUAAAGCACUUUUGUCCGGAAAGAAAUCCUGUCGGCUAAUACCCGGCGGGGAUGACGGUACCGGAAGAAUAAGCACCGGCUAACUUCGUG
rnacentral:rRNA from 1 species